GAUGAACGCUGGCGGCGUGCUUAACACAUGCAAGUCGAACGGAAAGGCUCCUGCUUGCAGGGGUACUCGAGUGGCGAACGGGUGAGUAACACGUGGGUGAUCUGCCCUGCACUUCGGGAUAAGCCUGGGAAACUGGGUCUAAUACCGGAUAGGACGAUGGUUUGGAUGCCAUUGUGGAAAGUUUUUCGGUGUGGGAUGAGCUCGCGGCCUAUCAGCUUGUUGGUGGGGUAAUGGCCUACCAAGGCGUCGACGGGUAGCCGGCCUGAGAGGGUGUACGGCCACAUUAGGACUGAGAUACGGCCCAGACUCCUACGGGAGGCAGCAGUGGGGAAUAUUGCACAAUGGGCGCAAGCCUGAUGCAGCGACGCCGCGUGGGGGAUGACGGCCUUCGGGUUGUAAACUCCUUUCGCUAGGGACGAAGCGCAAGUGACGGUACCUGGAGAAGAAGCACCGGCUAACUACGUG
rnacentral:rRNA from 1 species